CCUUCCGGUUGUAAACCUCUUUCAGCAGGGAAGAAGCGAAAGUGACGGUACCUGCAGAAGAAGGCGCCGGUAUCUACGUGCAAGCAGCCGCGGUAAUACGUAAGGCGCAAGCGUUGUCCGGAAUUAUUGGGCGUAAAGAGCUCGUAGGCGGCUUGUCACGUCGGAUGUGAAAGCCCGAGGCUUAACCUCCGGUCUGCAUUCGAUACGGGCUAGCUAGAGUGUGGUAGGGGAGAUCGGAAUUCCUGGUGUAGCGGUGAAAUGCGCAGAUAUCAGGAGGAACACCGGUGGCGAAGGCGGAUCUCUGGGCCAUUACUGACGCUGAGGAGCGAAAGCGUGGGGAGCGAACAGGAUUAGAUACCCUGGUAGUCCACGCCGUAAACGUUGGGAACUAGGUGUUGGCGACAUUCCACGUCGUCGGUGCCGCAGCUAACGCAUUAAGUUCCCCGCCUGGGGAGUACGGCCGCAAGGCUAAAACUCAAAGGAAUUGACGGGGGCCCGCACAAGCAGCGGAGCAUGUGGCUUAAUUCGACGCAACGCGAAGAACCUUACCAAGGCUUGACAUAUACCGGAAAGCAUUAGAGAUAGUGCCCCCCUUGUGGUCGGUAUACAGGUGGUGCAUGGCUGUCGUCAGCUCGUGUCGUGAGAAGUUGGGUUAAGUCCCGCAACGAGCGCAACCCUUGUCCUGUGUUGCCAGCAUGCCCUUCGGGGUGAUGGGGACUCACAGGAGACCGCCGGGGUCAACUCGGAGGAAGGUGGGGACGACGUCAAGUCAUCAUGCCCCUUAUGUCUUGGGCUGCACACGUGCUACAAUGGCCGGUACAAUGAGCUGCGAUACCGUGAGGUGGAGCGAAUCUCAAAAAGCCGGUCUCAGUUCGGAUUGGGGUCUGCAACUCGACCCCAUGAAGUCGGAGUUGCUAGUAAUCGCAGAUCAGCAUUGCUGCGGUGAAUACGUUCCCGGGCCUUGUACACACCGCCCGUCACGUCACGAAAGUCGGUAACACCCGAAGCCGGUGGCCCAACCCCUUGUGGGGGGGAGCUAUCGAA
rnacentral:rRNA from 1 species